AACCAAACUUUAUCAUUACUAUCUCGUUGUUGUGCUUCCUCUAAGUCUAUCCAUAUUAUAUAUGCUCAGUCAGUUGAUACCUUGAUUUUCUUCUUCUUAAUUUCAUCAUUGAUAUCUUGGAUUGCUUCCUCUAAGUCUUUCUUUGCCAGAUCUUUCAAGUUCUACUCACUUUCAAAUCUCAGUUUGGUGGUUUUUUUUACAAAGAUCUUAGUUUGUUUGUUCUCACACUUUCAGUGAACCUCUCAGGAUUUGACUACAAUAUCAUGGCAGAGCUGAUUGCUGGAGCAUUUCUUUCGUCAUUCUUUCAAGUCACUCUUGAUAGGAUUGCCUCAAGAGAUUUCAAAGACCUCUUCAAUAAAAAGUUGAUUAACAAACUUGAAAUCACACUGAAUUCUAUCAAUCAAUUGUUGGAUGAUGCAGAGACAAAGAAGUACCAUAACCAAAAUGUUAAGAAUUGGCUCGAUCGUCUUAAACACGAGGUGUAUGAAGUAGAUCAGUUGUUAGAUGAGUUUGAUACACAUGUACAACGAAAGAGCAAGGUUCAACACUUCAUUUCAGCUUUCACUAAUCGAUUUGAAUCUAGGAUCAAGGAUUUGCUAGACAAUCUAAACACUCUUGCAGAGCAAAAGGAUGUGUUAAGAUUGUCAGAAAGAAGUUAUGAAAGUGCAGUUAGCCUGCAAUCCUCAAAAAGAUCUCCAACUGCAUCUUUGGUGGAUGAAUCUUGCAUAUAUGGUAGAGAAGGUGACAAAGAAGAAAUAAUCAACUAUUUGCUGACAAACAAGGACAAUAGCAAGCAAGUAUCAACAAUCAGCAUAGUGGGUUUGGGUGGGAUGGGGAAGACCACCCUUGCUCAACUUGUCUACAAUGACCGCAGGAUACAAGAGACGUUUGAACUUAAAGCUUGGGUCUAUGUAUCUGAGUAUUUUGAUGUUAUUGGACUUACCAAAGCAAUUCUUAGGAAAUUUGGUUCUGCUGAAAAUAGUGAAGAUUUGGAUCUACUCCAACGGCAACUACAAGAAAAAUUAACAGGCAAGAACUAUCUACUUGUUGUGGAUGAUGUCUGGAAACUGAAUGAGGAAAGUUGGGAGACGUUACUACUUCCUUUUAACUAUGGAUCUUCUGGAAGUAAGAUUAUUCUGACAACACGCGACAAAAAAGUAGCACUAAUUGUGAAAUCAACUGAGUUAGUUGAUCUGGAACAAUUGAAGAACAAAGAUUGUUGGAGUUUAUUUAAGAGGCUUGCUUUUCACGGCAGGAAUGUAAGUGAAUACCCAAAACUUGAAUCAAUGGGCAAAAAUAUUGUAGAUAAGUGUAGAGGGUUGCCUUUAGCUGUGAAAACAAUGGGGAACCUCUUGCGUAAAAAAUUCACUCAACAUGAAUGGGAAAAGAUACUAGAGGCUGACAUGUGGCGGUUAACUGAUGAUGAAAGUAACAUUAACUCGGCAUUAAGAUUGAGUUACCAUAACCUCCCUUCCAAUCUGAAGCGCUGUUUUGCCUACUGCUCUAUAUUUCCCAAGGGUUUUAAGUUUGACAGGGAUGAAUUGAUCAAGCUUUGGAUGGCAGAAGGUUUGCUGAAAUGUUGCGGAAGAGACAAAAGUGAAGAAGAGCUGGGUAUUGAAUUCUUGGAUGAUCUAGAGUCCAUUUCAUUUUUCCAACAAUCACUAAAUUAUCUUGGGGAUAAGAGAUUAUUCAUGCAUGAUCUUGUCAAUGAUUUGGCAAAAUCAGAGUCCCAUGAGGUUUGCUUACAAAUUGAGGUUGAUAGUGUGCAAAAUAUAUCUGAAAGAACACGACAUGUUUGCUGCUAUCUUGAUUUGAAAGAUGGUGCGGGAAUAUUGAAUCACAUUUCUAAGAUCAAGGGAUUACGCAGCUUGUUGGUAUUACCACGAGGCUAUGGUAAAGAAUGCAAGAUAACCAACAAUUUGCAACGUGAUCUAUUUUCGAAACUAAAAUAUUUGCGGAUGUUGUCAUUCCGUGAUUGUGGUGAACUCAGAGAGCUAUCAGGUGAGAUAGGAAAUCUAAAGCUUUUGCGAUAUCUAAACCUGGCUAAAACAUUAAUUGAAAGGUUGCCUGACUCAAUUUGUAAUCUGUACAAAUUAGAGACAUUGAUACUGGAACGCUGUUAUAAUUUGACUAAACUCCCUUCAAAAUUUUACAAGCUUGUCAGUUUACGCCAUCUUAAUCUUGAAGGCUGUAAUAUAAAGAAGAUGCCAAAGAAGAUAGGGAGGCUAAACCAUCUUCAAACGCUGAGUGAUUUUGUUGUGGGAGAACAGAGUGGGUCUGAUAUUAAGGAGUUGGGUAAUCUCAAUCAUCUUCAAGGGGAACUUUGUAUUUCAGGGAUGGAACAUGUCAUCGAUCCCGUGGAUGCUGCAGGAGCAAAUUUGAAAGAGAAGAAACAUGUAGAAGAAUUAAAUAUGGAGUGGAGUUACAAAUUCAAUACCAAUGGAAGAGAAUCAGAUGUCUUUGAGGCUCUUCAACCAAAUAGCAGCUUGAAGAGGCUUAUCAUCUCACACUACAAAGGUAAUAGGUUUGCAAAUUGGAUGAGGGGUUGUGAUUUACCCAACUUAGUUUCAAUUAAACUAAAGCACUGUGCUUUAUGUUCCGAGUUGCCACCACUUGGACAACUCCCUUCUCUCAAAGAGAUUUCAAUUUCAGGCUGUGAUAAAAUAAGGAUCAUAGGGAAAGAAUUUUAUGGCAAUAAUUCCACAAAUGUUCCAUUCAGAUCCCUUGAAAUUCUGCAUUUUGAUUCGAUGUCGGAAUGGGAGGAAUGGUCACGUCUUGAAGGGUUUCCUUUGCUUAAAGAGAUUUCUAUAACAAGUUGUCCCGAAUUGAAAAGGGCUCUGCCUCAACACCUUCCUUCUUUACAAAAAUUGUUGAUUAAUGAUUGCAACAAGUUGGAGGCAUCCAUUCCCAAGUGUGAUAAUAUGAUAGAGUUAGAUAUACAGAACUGUGAUAGAAUUUUGGUAAAUGAAUUGCCGACAAGUUUGAAAAGGUUAUUCCUUUGUGAUAAUCAAUACACCGAGUUCUCCGUGGACCAAAAUCUAAUCAAUAUUCUCUUUCUUGAAAAGUUGAGGUUGGAUUUCAGAGGCUGUGUAAACUGUCCCUCUUUGGAUUUACGUUGCUAUAAUUCUCUUGAAAGACUUUCAAUAAAAGGAUGGCACUCCUCCUCCUUGCCUUUGGAACUACACUUGUUCACCAAACUUUAUUAUCUGUAUUUAAUUGAUUGUCCAGAGCUGGAAUCGUUUCCAAUGGGUGGUUUGCCUUCCAACUUGAGCGGUCUUGGAAUAUUGAAUUGCCCAAAACUGAUUGGUUCGAGAGAGGAGUGGGGUUUGUUCCAACUCAAUUCUCUGAGAGAAUUCUUUGUUAGUGAUGAAUUUGAAAACAUGGAGUCGUUCCCAGAGGAGAAUCUGCUGCCACCAACUCUUGCGUAUCUUAAUUUGUAUAAUUGUUCAAAGCUAAGAAUAAUGAACAAAAAGGGUUUUCUCCACCUCAAAUCUCUCACACGACUACACAUUAUCAACUGUCCUAGUCUUGAGAGCUUGCCAGAGAAGGAGGAUCUACCCAACUCUCUUGGGAUGUUGGAUAUUAGUAAUUGUGGAAUAAUAAAGGAGAAGUAUGAAAAGGAGGGAGGAGAGCGUUGGCAUACAAUUAGUCACAUCCCGAAUGUGUUGAUUGACUCAUUGUGGAAUAAUAAAGGAGAAGUAUGAAAAGGAGGGAGGAGAGCGUUGGCAUACAAUUAGUCACAUCCCUGAAGUGUGGAUUGACAACAUUAAGCAGGAAUGAGAUGUUAUGGGUCCAACGUUUGGUCAAAUCUUUUUGGUUUGGAAGGCUUAGAGGAUUUUGCGUUUGGGAAUGGUGUAAAGAGCGGUGGCAAUUUAAUUUUUGUAUGCUUUGGGACAAUUUGAGGGUAGUCUGGUAAAUAAUGAUUGUGGUCUUUUACCAAAAUGGAGUUCCCAACACAUCUUUUUUCCUCUUAUUUCACAAUCAUUUGAUGUUUGGACUGUGUUCUAUAUGUGUGUCCAUCUCUGAAAUAACUUCAGAAAUUGGAAACAAUUUUUUUAACCUAGAGAGUGUUAAUUAAAUUUUGUACUGUAACUUGACAAAAAACAAAAAAUUGUACUGUAAUAAUUUUUUUUUUGAAUAUACAUAGGGAUGUU